CAGCAGCCGCGGGAAUACGUAGGUGGCAAGCGUUGUCCGGAAUUAUUGGGCGUAAAGGGCUCGCAGGCGGUUUCUUAAGUCUGAUGUGAAAGCCCCCGGCUCAACCGGGGAGGGUCAUUGGAAACUGGGAAACUUGAGUGCAGAAGAGGAGAGUGGAAUUCCACGUGUAGCGGUGAAAUGCGUAGAGAUGUGGAGGAACACCAGUGGCGAAGGCGACUCUCUGGCCUGUAACUGACGCUGAGGAGCGAAAGCGUGGGGAGCGAACAGGAUUAGAUACCCCUGUAGUCCCUGUCUCUUAUAA
rnacentral:rRNA from 1 species